rnacentral:misc_RNA from 1 species
UAAAGAUUUGGCCUCUGGCCUUUUCAAUCCAAACCUCUGUGAACUGUGGCCCUCGGGCCGAUUUUAAACAUUGUGUAAUGAAUGUAAUAUUAUUGUAACAAAUAAAACUUUUAACAACGGAUCUCUUGGCUCUGGCAUCGAUGAAGAACGCAGCGAAAUGCGAUAAGUAAUGUGAAUUGCAGAAUUCAGUGAAUCAUCGAAUCUUUGAACGCACCUUGCACCUUUUGGUAUUCCGAAAGGUAUGCCUGUUUGAGUGUCAUGAAAUAUCAACCAUUAGGGUUUCCUAAUCGGCUUGGACUUGGGCAUUGCCGUCUGGCUUGCCUUAAAUGCGUUAGUGGAUGACCCAUUAGCUUGACGUAAUAAGUUUCGUCACCCGAGUGGUCAGCAUCUGCUUACAACAACCAAUAUUUCUUAAUCU